UGGCUCAGCAGUUAAGAGCACUGACUGCUCAUCAGAAGGUCCUGGGUUCAAGUCCCAG
rnacentral:tRNA from 1 species